rnacentral:rRNA from 1 species
UACGGAGGAUGCGAGCGUUAUCCGGAUUUAUUGGGUUUUAAGGGUGCGUAGGCGGAUUUUUAAGUCAGCGGUAAAAUGUCCGGGCUCAACCCGGGCCGGCCGUUGAAACUGGGGAUCUUGAGUGGGCGAGAAGUAUGCGGAAUGCGUGGUGUAGCGGUGAAAUGCAUAGAUAUCACGCAGAACUCCGAUUGCGAAGGCAGCAUACCGGCGCCCGACUGACGUUGAGGCACGAAAGCGUGGGGAUCGAACAGG